UACGUAGGUGGCAAGCGUUGUCCGGAAUUACUGGGUGUAAAGGGCGUGUAGGCGGGACUGCAAGUCAGAUGUGAAAUUCCCGGGCUCAACCUGGGGGCUGCAUCUGAAACUGUGGUUCUUGAGUACUGGAGAGGAAAGCGGAAUUCCUAGUGUAGCGGUGAAAUGCGUAGAUAUUAGGAGGAACACCAGUGGCGAAGGCGGCUUUCUGGACAGUAACUGACGCUGAGGAGCGAAAGCGUGGGGAGCAAACAGG
rnacentral:rRNA from 1 species